UCCUUUUUCUUGGUACAGAUAAGUCCUGC
rnacentral:piRNA from 1 species